CAGGUACAGCGGGAAGGCCACCCUGGUGACAGGGAGCGGAACCCGAAAGCCUGUCUCAGUUCGGAUUGGAGUCUGCAACUCGACUCCAUGAAGCUGGAUUCGCUAGUAAUCGCGCAUCAGCCAUGGCGCGGUGAAUACGUUCCCGGGCCUUGUACACACCGCCCGUCAAGCCAUGGGAGCCGGGGGUGCCUGAAGUACGUGACCGCGAGGAGCGUCCUAGGGCAAAACUGGUGACUGGGGCUAAGUCGUAACAAGGUACC
rnacentral:rRNA from 1 species